rnacentral:lncRNA from 1 species
UUUUUUUUUUUUUUUUUGUAGUUACAGGACCACAUUGUUAUUGCCCAGUCAGGUCUGAAACUCCUGGCCUCAAGCGAUCCUCCCACCUCAGCCUCCCAAAGUGCUAGGAUUAUAGGCAUGAGCCACUGCGCCUGGCCCAUGUCCUGUGGUCUCACCUGCUGUCUGCCAAUGGCGAAGCAAACAGAAUGAUGGCGCUAAUGUUCAACACGGCCCCAGGCAAGGUGGUGAGGGAAGGCCAGGAAAGUGGUGGGGCUGUAUUGCCGGAUCUGGCCAGCAGCCCGCAAUGCAAUGGGGCUCUCUCUUUGUUCCCAGGUGGAUCGACAGGUCGAGAAAUAAUAGACACAAGAUAGUGAAAGCUGGGUCCAGGGGGGUCACCACCUCUGGUCCCAUAGUGCUGCCAAUGCACUGGAUAUACCAGCAUUUAUUAUUAAGUUUAGUGAGGGCAGAAGUAGGUUAGUGAGGGAUUUAGGGUCGUUUGAUUAUGAGGUGAGAUGGUGACAUGGGGAUGAAGUAAUUCUUUAACAUAACAUCUGUAUGCAGAAGUACAGUAUACAGAUAAGAAUUUACAAUGUAGUGUGUGCAUCAGUAAUUUCUAACAGAGCCUUAAAACAGAAACACAGUCUUUCCAUAACCUAUGAUUAGCAAGAUAUUAAUCAGCAGUAACAGCUGCAGCAAAAAUUGGUUACAAAUAAUCCAUAGAAACAGGACGUGAAGCUAGACAACCCAUUAGACCAGAAAUUCUCAGAAGGGAGUAUGCCUUAACCCUAAAGAGGCCUAGAAGAGCCGUGGCAAGAUGAGGGCGUUUAUAGCCCUACCUUAUCCAUAUGGACAGGCGCACCCCAUGCGUCCAUUUAUAGGCUCUCAACAAGGUUCGCAUUCCAUUCCCGGAGCUAUGAACAUCUGCUUUUCUGGGAUAGGAAUCUUGGUGAUGUGAAACUUCCCUGACUGCACAUCCAUUCAUAGGCUCUCUGCAGGGGGAAGCACAUCACACGCUGUUGGCUCAUUCUGGCGGUCCAACCUGGCAUUGUC